UCAUUAAUGAAAUGAAUGUCGAGAUGGGUUGUAGCUGGCCUUUUUUUUGGGGCAUGUGCACACCUUGAUCGCACAUCCACCUCUCACACCUGUGCACUUUAUGUAGCUUGGGAUGAUUACAAUGUUGGAAACAAUGUUGAAAGCCCUAGCUAUGAAUUUUUAUACACCCAUAUACAAAGUUAUAGAAUGAAUAAUGUUAUAGCGUGUAAUAGCGCAAAAUAUAUACAACUUUCAGCAACGGAUCUCUUGGCUCUCGCAUCGAUGAAGAACGCAGCGAAAUGCGAUAAGUAAUGUGAAUUGCAGAAUUCAGUGAAUCAUCGAAUCUUUGAACGCACCUUGCGCUCCUUGGUAUUCCGAGGAGCAUGCCUGUUUGAGUGUCAUAAAAUUCUCAACUACCUUUUUAGCAUCUAUGUUAAGGGUGAAGUUGGAGUUGGAGGAUAAUUGCUGGCGUAACUAAGGUUGCUUGUUGGCUCCUCUUGAAUGAAUGAGCUUUUCUGAUGGAUCAUAGCUCAGUAACACUAAUGUGAUAAUUAUCUACGUUAGAUGUGAAAGCUGUGAGUAGAGUAACUUCAAAUAUGGAGAUGCUCCUAUAGAAAAGGCAUGUCUUGGGGAUAACAAACCCUUGACUUUGAAAUUACAAUGACAAAUCUGACCUCAAAUCAGGUAGGACUACCCGCUGAACUUAAGCAUAUCAAUAAGCGGAGGAAAAGAAACUAACAAGGAUUCCCCUAGUAACUGCGAGUGAAGCGGGAAAAGCUCAAAUUUAAAAUCUGGCAUGCCUUUGGCUGUCCGAGUUGUAGUCU
rnacentral:rRNA from 1 species